GAAAGAUGGCUUUGGCUAUCACUCUGGGAUGGACCUGCGGUGCAUUAGCUAGUUGGUAAGGUAACGGCUUACCAAGGCGAUGAUGCAUAGCCGAGUUGAGAGACUGAUCGGCCACAAUGGAACUGAGACACGGUCCAUACUCCUACGGGAGGCAGCAGUAGGGAAUCUUCCACAAUGGGCGCAAGCCUGAUGGAGCAACACCGCGUGAGUGAAGAAGGGUUUCGGCUCGUAAAGCUCUGUUGUUGGAGAAGAACGUGCGUGAGAGUAACUGUUCACGCAGUGACGGUAUCCAACCAGAAAGUCACGGCUAACUACGUGCCAGCAGCCGCGGUAAUACGUAGGUGGCAAGCGUUAUCCGGAUUUAUUGGGCGUAAAGCGAGCGCAGGCGGUUGCUUAGGUCUGGUGUGAAAGCCUUCGGCUUAACCGAAGAAGUGCAUCGGAAACCGGGCGACUUGAGUGCAGAAGAGGACAGUGGAACUCCAUGUGUAGCGGUGGAAUGCGUAGAUAUAUGGAAGAACACCAGUGGCGAAGGCGGCUGUCUGGUCUGCAACUGACGCUGAGGCUCGAAAGCAUGGGUAGCGAACAGGAUUAGAUACCCUGGUAGUCCAUGCCGUAAACGAUGAGUGCUAGGUGUUGGAGGGUUUCCGCCCUUCA
rnacentral:rRNA from 1 species